rnacentral:lncRNA from 1 species
GAACCCGACCGACUGAUGCCUUUAUGAAGGCUAAUGAGUUAGAGGUAUGAGGUGACAUGAGAGACACAUUGCUUUGUACCUCAUAGCCUUUAUAAAUGCUAUAGUAACACAAAAUAGUUAUCCAAAAAAGUCACUUAGGUGCCUUAUGCCUAUCACUUUGCUUCAUUAAAUGGCAUCAUUCACGAUACCAAUUCAAAGAGUGCAAUGAGAAUACUUCAACCAA